rnacentral:tRNA from 1 species
GCGGUGCUCGUCGGCGGGCGCGACGGUGCGCUGAAGGCGCGCCUGAUCUCCGAGUUCGGCAAGUCGGAGAUCGCG